UCACCAACACCAGCAGAGGGAGAUGUUGCUGCUGUGAUCCCAACAGACUGCUGAGAAUCCACUGCUGAGAUUCUUUCUGAAUCUUAACAAGAACACAUUCUUUGAGCUGAAAACCCACACACAUGCCACACAUUCUUCUUAUAUUCAGUUCAAAUAAUCAUUUCAAUAAUCUUCAAAAUGAAGAACUAUGCAGAGCAUCUCAGGGCCAUAGUUAAUAUCCAUAUUUUUGUUGUUUUUCUCAGUGGCACUCAUUGGUCAAUGCUUGAGUCACUAGAUAAACCUAAAAAUGUAUUAAAUAAAUAAAGUAAUUAACCCUUUGUCCCGCAAAAAAAGUGCACUGUGGUUUAUUCAUCCCAGAAAAUUUUAAAGAUAACAAGAACAGCAAAAAGCUUGUGACUUUGAUGCAGUGAGUAGAAGCCAGGGGGCCACAGGGAUGGAUUAGAAAGUGUUGGCAUAUAUACACAAGCAUGGAUGCAAAUGCAAAAAAAAAAAAAAAAAAACACACACACACACACACACACACACACACAUAAACUCACAAAUCAGUCUAUGAACACAAAAUCACAGGCACACACAGAAGAGUUUUUCAAGUCUACAGUAUUGCUUUCAACUGGAGAAAAAAAAGGAGUUCCCCUUAGGGAAAUUUAGGGUGCUUGCUGAUCCAAAGAUAAGUAAAUUUAAAAAGAAAUAUACCCAAACAACAAGGAAAUGUUGUUUGAUGUUUUUAAGAUCUGUCUCCCUAAAUGUUUCCAAUUCUAUUUAAUUAUUUAUUCAAAACAAAAAAAUAAACAAUUUUUCUAUUCAUUCAUGUCGUAAGACACCAAGUGCUCAGGAAUUCAGGAUAGGUGAGAGAGAAACUCAGAGACUGUGUGAAAAGAGACAAAGAAGUUGUGAGAAGGGAUGGGGUGGGGGGUGUCCAUUUGUCAUCAGACGAGGAGGGAGGUGCCAGAUUCUGGGAGGUUUGGAUACUCUAUUGAUGCCCCCAAAAAGCAUUCACCAUCCAGCCCCCCUUUCCCCCAUUUUUUUCUUUAUCCCUCGAUUCUAUCCUUUAUUUCUCCCCUCUGCUUUCUUAUCCUUCCACAAGCCUCUUUUACUCUCAGUCCUGAAGGAACACUCAGCUCGGUGCUGUGAUUUUGUCUCCAUUCUGAGGGUGCUGUGAGUACCCUGAACCAGGGAUUUCUUCCAUUCUU
ensembl:lncRNA